AAUAUUGGACAAUGGGCGAAAGCCUGAUCCAGCAAUGCCGCGUGAGUGAUGAAGGCCUUAGGGUUGUAAAGCUCUUUUACCCGGGAUGAUAAUGACAGUACCGGGAGAAUAAGCUCCGGCUAACUCCGUGCCAGCAGCCGCGGUAAUACGGAGGGAGCUAGCGUUGUUCGGAAUUACUGGGCGUAAAGCGCACGUAGGCGGCUUUGUAAGUUAGAGGUGAAAGCCUGGAGCUCAACUCCAGAACUGCCUUUAAGACUGCAUCGCUUGAAUCCAGGAGAGGUGAGUGGAAUUCCGAGUGUAGAGGUGAAAUUCGUAGAUAUUCGGAAGAACACCAGUGGCGAAGGCGGCUCACUGGACUGGUAUUGACGCUGAGGUGCGAAAGCGUGGGGAGCAA
rnacentral:rRNA from 1 species